rnacentral:rRNA from 1 species
AUUGAACGCUGGCGGCAGGCUUAACACAUGCAAGUCGAGCGGGGGAAGGUAGCUUGCUACUGGACCUAGCGGCGGACGGGUGAGUAAUGCUUAGGAAUCUGCCUAUUAGUGGGGGACAACAUCUCGAAAGGGAUGCUAAUACCGAAUCCGUCCUACGGGAGAAAGCAGGGGAUCUUCGGACCUCGCGCUAAUAGAUGAGCCUAAGUCGGAGUAGCUAGUUGGUGGGGUAAAGGCCUACCAAGGCGACGAUCUGUAGCGGGUCUGAGAGGAUGAUCCGCCACACUGGGACUGAGACACGGCCCAGACUCCUACGGGAGGCAGCAGUGGGGAAUAUUGGACAAUGGGGGGAACCCUGAUCCAGCCAUGCCGCGUGUGUGAAGAAGGCCUUAUGGUUGUAAAGCACUUUAAGCGAGGAGGAGGCUACUUUAGUUAAUACCUAGAGAUAGUGGACGUUACUCGCAGAAUAAGCACCGGCUAACUCUGUGCCAGCAGCAGCCGCCG